CGUGUAGGUGGUUUCGUAAGUCUGGCGUGAAAUAUCUCGGCUUAACCGAGGCAGGUCGUCGGAUACUGCGGAACUAGAGGACGGUAGAGGCGUGUGGAAUUCCGGGUGUAGAGGUGAAAUGCGUAGAGAUCCGGAGGAACACCAGUGGCGAAGGCGACACGCUGGGCCGUACCUGACACUGAUGCGCGACAGCAUGGGGAGCAAACA
rnacentral:rRNA from 1 species